AAAAGUGUUGCCAUUGGAAACGUAGAUUCAAACUGAUCUCAUUUUCUAAAACAUUUUCUGUUCAAUCAACAAAUUGAAUGUUUAUUUUUUAAGAAUAAAAGUGAAAUUAAUUAUUCUUUUUAAUUUACUAAUCAAUAAAUCAAGAGUUGUGAUUAUUAUUUAAGACGAAACCAGUUGAUGUCAUCUCAUGUUAUUGAUGUUUAUGAGUCUCCAUGUGAAGACACAAGGGAUCAUCUUUAUCAACCGGUUUGGCUUUUUUUGUUUAUCUCUUUUCAAGAAUAACCUUUAAUUGUUUCCAUAUUUAUAUUUGUAUUUAUAUUUGAAUUUCUAUUGUUGAUUUUUAAUUAAUAUCAUCAUUAUCAUUCUCUUGAUACUUUUGGUGUCGCAAUUGAAUCAAAUGUCAACUUGUCUUGAUCUCUUAAUAACCAUUUAACUGGAAGAUUUUAUUACCAUUGGAAAGAGACCUCGUUUAGGAUUCUUUUGGUUUCUUGCUGAUUAGCAUCCAUUUAUUUUCCUUUAAUAAGAAUACAAGGAUUAACCAAUAUCAUCACUUUUAUCAUCAUCAUCAUGUCUCUUGUCUCAUCUUCUUCUAAAUCUGCAAUCAAAUCUUCCAAUCUCGGUGACUAUGUCAAGAAUCUCAGCCCUCAAAUUAUUGACAAACUCUAUUCAAAAAGCUCUUCUUGUUGUCUUGCUAUUUUCGGACAAUUACCUCCAUUGGCGAAAACAUAUGUAAUUAGAUUGUUAUUUAUCGAUCAAGGUAUUCCAAAGGAUGUUAUCUCUUCAUGGGUCACCUCAAGUUCCAUCAUUGAACACAAUGAGGCUGUUUCUAUGCUCACCGAUUUAAGAAUUUGGUCUGAAUCACCAAUCCAUGGAGGAUUACCUGGAUUAAAGUUGAAUAGUACCUUCAAGAACAACCUGCAAGUUGCACUUCUCGGAGGAGGCGAUUCUUGGGUAAUUAAAGCGGCCGAAGAUAAAGAUAAACAUGGACGAGAUCUCUCUUUCCUCAAUCAAUAUGCUUUAGAAAGAUGGGAAUGUAUCUUACAUUUCAUGGUUGGAUCUCAGGGGGAUAAAGAAAGUGUUUCGGCUGAUACAGUUAAAACAUUGUCUCACGCUGGUUUGAUAAAAUAUGAUCCAUCUACUCAGGAACCUCCAUCGAUUACAGCUGAUGGUUUUCAAUUUCUUCUUAUGGACACCAAAUCUCAAGUUUGGUACUUCUUGUUACAAUAUUUAGGUACAGUGGAAAGUAAAAAGAUGGAUUUGGUUGAAUGUUUAACAGUCCUAUUUCAAAUUAGCUUUUUGACACUAGGAAAGGGUUACUUAACAUCUUCUGUCAGUGAAUCAAUGGCGAAUUUUUUUCAAAACCUCAGAGAAUUUGGUCUAAUCUACCAAAGGAAGCGUAAAGAUGGACGUUUCUAUCCAACCAAACUAGUCAUCAAUUUAACCGCCAAUUCAAGUAGCUCUCAAGUGGAUUCUAAACGGGAAGGUUUCAUCAUAGUGGAAACUAAUUUUCGUGUCUUUGCUUAUACAAAUUCAUCUCUAAAAAUGGCAUUAGUUGCUUUAUUUACUGAGAUGCAAUAUCGACUACCCAAUGUUGGAAUCGGUUUGUUAAAUCGUGAUAGUAUAAGACAAGCACUUAAAAAUGGAAUCACCGCUGAGCAGAUUAUGGGAAAUUGAACGAGAUCGAUUUAUUUUCAAAGAGGGAUCACUUUACAAUCAAUUCUUGUCUCAAGGAGAUUUUCAACUGCUUCGCAAUUACGCAAAUGACGCUGGUCACCUGAUUUGGGAUAAUCCAAGUAAACGAGUGAUGGUCGUUACAAAUGCUGGACACGAUGAUGUUAGAAGAUUUUGGAAGAGACACAAGAAAGACCAUUAAAGGAGAGAAAAUUUUCAAAAAAUAUUCUUCAGUAUUUUCCCUUGAUGAGCAAAAUUCAAUUCUUACCUUUCACCUUCAUCAACUUCCUGGCUUAUUGAUCAUCUUUGUCAUUCCAAGGAUAUGUUCAUAUUUAUAUGUUUAUGUGUCUAUACAAAGUUUAAAAAUUUUAUUGAUUGUUGAUAGAAAAUCAAAUGUCAGUCAAAUUGUUAUAACUUUACUGACAUAACUGAUAAAUCCUUCAAAUCUAUCAUUUUCAUCUCAUCACUAUCAAUUGUUUAUUCAAAAGUGUUUCUCAUUGUUUUCACAAAUGUAAAUAACCUAACAAUUUAUAUUGAUAACAAAAAAAAAACAUGAUUAGUAAUAUUUUCUUAUUACUAAUAAUCAAUCAA